GGGGAAUAUUGGACAAUGGGCGCAAGCCUGAUCCAGCCAUGCCGCGUGAGUGAUGAAGGCCUUAGGGUUGUAAAGCUCUUUCGCCGGUGAAGAUAAUGACGGUAACUCAUGAAUAAGCACCGGCUAACUACGUGCCAGCAGCCGCGGUCAUACGUAGGGUGCAAGCAUUAUCCGGAGUGACUGGGCGUAAAGAGUUGCGUAGGCGGUUAGUAAAGCGAAUAGUGAAACCUGGUGGCUCAACCAUACAGACUAUUAUUCGAACUCACUAACUCGAGAAUGGUAGAGGUAACUGGAAUUUCUAGUGUAGGAGUGAAAUCCGUAGAUAUUAGAAGGAACACCAAUGGCGUAGGCAGGUUACUGGACCAUUUCUGACGCUAAGGCACGAAAGCGUGGGGAGCGAACC
rnacentral:rRNA from 1 species